CUUUUCUUGAUAAAAAAUUCUUAGUUUUUUUUUAAUUUUUAAAAAACAUAGGACCAAGAAUCUACUUCUUGCUUUAUAAAAAAGGAAUAGGAUUUCUCAAUUGAUGUGAGACCCUCAUCUCCGUCCAUAUAUGGUAAAGCGUAGAGUCAUGGCUGAAUAAAGGUGAUGGGACUCCUAUUCAACAAGGAUUGGGAGGCAUAUCGGUCCUGAGAUGGUCGCCUACUGGAGAUUACUUUUUUGCAGCUAAGUUGUACUCCUGAUGGAACAUUUUAUUUGUGGGAGACUGGGACUUGAACAUCACAACCAUGGUCUUCAAGUAGUGGUUUUGUUACAAGACAUGAAGGAUGGAAGGAAAGUUUCAAAACUCCUCCCGUGAAAAGCAUUGUCCGCACCAAACAUCUUCUUAUCAAGCUUGGACGACAUCAUCUCUCUCGGAGUGCAAUGUUGAUCUUAUAGUGAUUUCGUUGCCUUAAACAGUCGGAUGAUGUCGCCGAAUAAUGAGUGCUUUCAUAUAUCAUUUUCACAUAUUUUUGCUUGUUUUGUCUAACAUGCUCAAUAUGUAUACACAUUUUGGCUUGUUGAAUGUGUUUCCGAUUUGUCUGUGGCACCUUCUUUACGUAUUCCUAAGUGGUUUUGUCUUAAAUAUUAUGUGCAAAUCCUAAUU